UAAGCUCGUCGCUACAGGCAGA
rnacentral:miRNA from 1 species